rnacentral:rRNA from 1 species
UACGUAGGUGGCAAGCGUUGUCCGGAUUUACUGGGCGUAAAGAGCGCGCAGGCGGUCGUUCAAGUCGAGUGUGAAAGCCCCCGGCUCAACUGGGGAGGGUCACUCGAUACUGAUCGACUCGAAGGCAGAAGAGGGAAGCGGAAUUCCCGGUGUAGUGGUGAAAUGCGCAGAUAUCAGGAGGAACACCGGUGGCGAAGGCGGAUCUCUGGGCCUUACCUGACGCUCAGGUGCGAAAGCUAGGGGAGCGAACAGG